GACGAACGCUGGCGGCGUGCUUAACACAUGCAAGUCGAACGGAGUGGCGAACGGGCGAGUAACACGUGGGUGAUCUGCCUUGCACUUCGGGAUAAGCUUGGGAAACUGGGUCUAAUACCGGAUAGUGCAAGAUGAGCUCGCGGCCUAUCAGCUUGUUGGUGGGGUAAUGGCCUACCAAGGCGUCGACGGGUAGCCGGCCUGAGAGGGUGUACGGCCACAUUGUGACUGGGAUGCGGCCCAGACUACUACGGGAGGCAGGAGUGGGGAAGAUUGCACAAUGGGCGGAGGCCUGAUGCAGCGACGGCGCGUGGGGGAUGAAGGCCGUCGGGUUGUAAACUCCUUUCGACAGGGACGCGGUACCUGUAUAAGAGGCACCGGCUAGCUACGUGCCAGCAGCCGCGGUGAGUC
rnacentral:rRNA from 1 species